rnacentral:lncRNA from 1 species
GGUUUUCUUCUUUCCCUUUUCUUUUUUGUUUUUCUUUUUAAUGUGAGAGAGAGGUAGUCAAUGGGAUCUUGUCACGUGUGUGGUUACCACUCUCCCCUUUUAAUUCUCUUUUCCUUUUGUUUGUUUUUUAUCAGCCAGAUAGUCUGAUUUUUUUCAUGUGACGGCCGUUAGAGGAGAGAGAAUCAUGGUGCUAGUUGUCCGUUGGUUUUCGUCUUGGUGGCUUCUUCGCUUUUUU